AUAAAUGAACAUUUCAUAUGGGCGCUAAUGAGAAGCUACAUUAUGCUUGUUGUUUACUGAAGUCAUCAUUUUGUACCAAAGUAAAACUAUAAGGAGUAACAUGUACAAGUAGAAUCAUUGUUUUAAUAAAAAGACAGAAAAUAUAAGAUAAAGUGUAGUUCCAUGUGAUGGAAAUAGAAAGGAAAUAUGUAAAAUGGAAAUCCUGUUUGGAGUUUUGAGGUGGCUUUAAAGUUAUACUGGAACAGAACUUAACUGAAAAG